AUUGAACGCUGGCGGCAGGCCUAACACAUGCAAGUCGAGCGAGCGGCGGACGGGUGAGUAUUGUCUGGAAAACUGCCUGAUGGAGGGGGAUAACUACAGGAAACGGUAGCUAAUACCGCAUACCCUCGGAUGUGCCCAGAUGGGAUUAGCUAGUAGGUGGGGUAAAGGCCCACCUAGGCGACGAUCCCUAGCUGGUCUGAGGGGAUGACCAGCCACACGGGAACGGGGACACGGUCCAUAAUCCUACGUGAGGCAGCAGUGGUGAAUAUUGCACAGUGGGCGCAAGCCUGAUGCAGCCAUUCCGCGUGUAUGAAGAAGACCUUCGGGUUGUAAAGUACUUUCAGCGGGGAGGCGUUACCCGCAGAAGAAGCACCGGCUAACUCCGUGCCAGCCGCCGCGGUAAUAC
rnacentral:rRNA from 1 species